AUUGAACGCUGGCGGCAGGCCUAACACAUGCAAGUCGAGCGGAUGAAGAGAGCUUGCUCUCUGAUUUAGCGGCGGACGGGUGAGUAAUGCCUAGGAAUCUGCCUGGUAGUGGGGGAUAACGUUCCGAAAGGAACGCUAAUACCGCAUACGUCCUACGGGAGAAAGCAGGGGACCUUCGGGCCUUGCGCUAUCAGAUGAGCCUAGGUCGGAUUAGCUAGUUGGUGAGGUAAUGGCUCACCAAGGCUACGAUCCGUAACUGGUCUGAGAGGAUGAUCAGUCACACUGGAACUGAGACACGGUCCAGACUCCUACGGGAGGCAGCAGUGGGGAAUAUUGGACAAUGGGCGAAAGCCUGAUCCAGCCAUGCCGCGUGUGUGAAGAAGGUCUUCGGAUUGUAAAGCACUUUAAGUUGGGAGGAAGGGCAGUAAGUUAAUACCUUGCUGUUUUGACGUUACCGACAGAAUAAGCACCGGCUAACUUCGUGCCAGCAGCCGCUGUAAAAC
rnacentral:rRNA from 1 species